rnacentral:lncRNA from 1 species
AGUAGUGCUAGCUACCGUCAUUUCAUUUCCCCUUUUCCUUUUCUUCGCCCCACCCCUCCGUUUUUUCAUCACUUUCAGCUAUCUUCUUCUUCUUGUUCUUUCAUCUCCCCCCAGAAAAAGACCGAGAGGAAAGAGAUCUUGCUUAUUUUCUGACUUGGGAGGAAGAGUGGAAAUGGGGAUGGGCUCUCAAGAUGCUAUUGAUCAGUUGGGAGUU